GAAAUGCGAUAAGUAAUGUGAAUUGCAGAAUUCAGUGAAUCAUCGAAUCUUUGAACGCACAUUGCGCUCGCCAGUAUUCUGGCGAGCAUGCCUGUUCGAGCGUCAUUUCAACCAUCAAGCUCUGCUUGCGUUGGGGAUCCGCGGCUGCCCGCGGUCCCUCAAAAACAGUGGCGGGCUCGCUAGUCACACCGAGCGUAGUAACUCUACAUCGCUAUGGUCGUGCUGCGGGUUCUUGCCGUAAAACCCCCAAUUUCUAAGGUUGACCUCGGAUCAGGUAGGAAUACCCGCUGAACUUAAGC
rnacentral:misc_RNA from 1 species